rnacentral:rRNA from 1 species
GAUGAACGCUGGCGGCGUGCCUAAUACAUGCAAGUCGAGCGAACAGAUGAGGAGCUUGCUCCUCGGACGUGAGCGGAGGGCGGGUGUGUAACACGUGGAUAACGUACCUAACAGACUGGGAUCACUUGGGGACACCGGCGCAAAUAGCGGAGAAGCUAUUGAACCGCAUGGGGCAAUGGUGAAAGACGGUGUUGCUGUCAGUUAUAGAGGGAUCUGCGCCGGAUGGGCUGGUAGUUAAGGUAAAGGGUUAUCAAGGCUAGGAGGCGUGGGCGAACUGCGAGGGUGAUCGGCCACACUGGAACUGAGACACGGUCCAUACGCCUAAGGGAGGCAGCAGUAGGCAAUCGGCCGCAAUGGGCGAGAGUCUGACGGAGCAACGGCGCGUGAGUGAUGGAGGUGUUCGGAGCGUAAUACUGUGUUAUUAGGUAAGAACAAAUGUGUAAGUAACUAUGCACGUCUUGACGGUACCUAAUCAGAAAGCCACGGCUAACUACGUG